rnacentral:miRNA from 1 species
UGGGAUUCCCCAUUCUGCAUGGC